rnacentral:rRNA from 1 species
AUUGAACGCUGGCGGCAUGCCUUACACAUGCAAGUCGAACGGUAACGGGCCUUCGGGUGCCGACGAGUGGCGAGCGGGUGAGUAAUACAUCGGAACGUGCCCGAUCGUGGGGGAUAACGAGGCGAAAGCUUUGCUAAUACCGCAUACGAUCUACGGAUGACAGCAGGGGACCGCAAGGCCUUGCGCGGACGGAGCGGCCGAUGGCAGAUUAGGUAGUUGGUGGGAUAAAAGCUUACCAAGCCGACGAUCUGUAGCUGGUCUGAGAGGAUGAUCAGCCGCACUGGGACUGAGACACGGCCCAGACUCCUACGGGAGGCAGCAGUGGGGAAUUUUGGACAAUGGGCGCAAGCCUGAUCCAGCCAUGCCGCGUGCAGGAUGAAGGCCUUCGGGUUGUAAACUGCUUUUGUACGGAACGAAAAGCCUUCUUUUAAUACAGGAGGGUCAUGACGGUACCGUAAGAAUAAGCACCGGCUAACUACGUG